GGAGCGGUAUCGAAGAGGUCAUAACGGCCCCGACUCGAAAUCGGGUAAACCUGUAAAAGGGUCCGUGGGUUCGAAUCCCACCCGCUCCGCCA
rnacentral:tRNA from 1 species